UAUUUUAUUUAUGUGAUCUUGGUAAAGAUAAAACGUUAAUUUUUUACUUAACACAUGCAAAAAGAUGAUAAUAUUUAUUAUAUUUUUAUUUAAAUUGGUGAGUAAUAAAAAUAAUUUUUUUUAUUUUUUUUGAAAGUUAGUCUUAUUGGUAGAUUAGCCACAUAUAUUUUAGAUUAAUAUAUUUUUGACAGCAGUGGGGGAUUUUUGACAAUGAUAACAGUUGAUCAAGUAAAAAAAUGAUAAUUAUAGGUAUUUUACCAAAAGUUAGGUCGACAGUUAUAAGAAAUAUAUUUUUGUAAGAGAAGUUGUGGCUAAUACAUGUGCCAGCAGCUGCGGUAAUACAUGAGCAAUAAACGUUUUUCUUAUGAAUUGAGUUUAAAAAAUAAUCUGGCUUUUACAUGAUAAUUUUUAAUUUAUAUUUUUAUAAGAGAUAAAAUUCAAAAAAAUAUAAGGUAUAUUUAUUUAAUUAGAAAUUACUCAUUUAGUUUAUUUAUGAAAGUAUAAGUAUCGAUUAGGAUUAGAGACCCUAGUAGUUUAUACAUUAAAAUAUGAUAAAAUGAAGAAAAUAAAUUAUCUACUUGAAAAGUAAAUUAGCAAUAAUGAAAUUUAACAGAAUUGGCGGGAAUAAUUACAAUGGUGGAAUAUGUGAUUUAAUGCGAUAAUCCACGUAAAAUCUUACCAAUUUAUAUUUGUAUAUUAUUUGAAAUUGAAAUAAUAUUUAAAAGAUUUUAGUAUUGCAUGGCUGUCGUCAGUUCGUGUUUUGAGAUGUUUAAUUUAGUUUAGAUAACGAACGAAAUUUAAAUAAAAUUAAUUGUAUUAUUUUUAUUAUAAAUGAAGUCAAGUCCACAUGGUCUUUUUAAAUUGGGCUAUACAUGUAUUACAAUGUUGAAAACAAAUAGUUUUUUUUUUGAGAAAAAUAAAGAAUUCUAAAAAAAUCAGCUCAAUUCGGAUUAAAUUUUGAAAGUCAAAUUUAUGAAGAUGGAAUCAUUAGUAAUUGUAUUUUAAUAUGUUACAGUGAAAUUUUUUUUUUAUUUUGCACACACUGCCCAUCACAUUCGGAAAAUAAAUAAAUAUGUAUAAAUAAUAUUUUUAUAAAAAUGUUAUUUAAAAAUUAAAUUUAAAUUUGGAUGAAGUUGACACAAGGUAUUGGUAGGGGAACCUGUUGAUGGAAUAUAAAUUUA
rnacentral:rRNA from 1 species